ensembl:snRNA U6 U6 spliceosomal RNA
GUGCUCACUUUGGCAGCACAUAUACAAAAAAUUGGAGUAUUAGAGAUCUGCACAGCCCCUGAGCAAGGAUGAUAUGUAAAUUUGUGAAGUAUUACAUGUUUUU